rnacentral:rRNA from 1 species
AUGUCAUCAAAUCCUGAAGAAGGCAAGCGUUAUGCACGCAGAGACCUUUUGCUCAAGAUCCAGUCAGAUGCUCAAAAGUGUUGGGAGGAUAGCAAAGUUUUUCAUGCUGAGCCGGGCAAUAAAUCUCCAGGCCCUGGUGAAAAAUUCUUCGGCAACUUUCCGUAUCCUUACAUGAAUGGAUUGCUUCAUUUGGGACAUGCGUUCUCAUUGUCCAAGCUUGAGUUUGGUGCUGCAUACCACAGACUCCGUGGCUCAAAUGUUCUAUUGCCAUUUGCUUUCCACUGUACUGGGAUGCCAAUCAAGGCCUCAGCUGAUAAGCUGGCCAGGGAGAUACAACAGUAUGGAAACCCUCCAGUGUUUCCUCAACCAGAGAAUAAUAAUUCAAGUGCUGAAGUGGCAGAUGAUAGAGAAGUUGAGCAGGCUUCUGCCGUUACCCCAGAUAAAUUUAAGAGCAAGAAAUCUAAGGCUGCUGCAAAGACAGGCAUGCAGAAGUUCCAAUGGGAGAUCAUGAAGAGCUUUGGCCUGUUAGAUGAACAAAUUGCCAAAUUUCAAGAUCCUUAUCACUGGUUGACCUACUUCCCUCCGUUGGCGGUGAAAGACCUUAAGGACUUUGGCUUAGGUUGUGAUUGGAGGCGUUCAUUCAUAACCACCGACAUGAAUCCUUUCUAUGAUGCUUUUGUUCAAUGGCAGAUGAGAAAGCUCAAGAAAAUGGGGAAAGUUGUCAAGGACCUGAGGUACACAGUCUACUCCCCAUUGGAUGGCCAACCUUGCGCCGACCAUGACAGGGCAACAGGUGAAAAUGCACAGCCACAAGAAUAUGUGCUGAUUAAAAUGGAGGUGAUUCCACCUUUUCCCCCAAAGUUGAAGGUCUUGGAAGGAAAAAAUGUUUAUUUGGCAGCAGCUACAUUGAGACCAGAGACUAUGUAUGGCCAAACAAACUGUUGGGUGCUGCCUAAUGGAAAUUACGGGGCUUUUGAGGUCAAUGAUGCCGAUGUCUUCAUUCUGACAGCAAGGUCUGCUCUUAAUCUUGCAUAUCAGAAUCUAUCCAGGGUCCCCGAAAAGCCAACCUGCUUAGCUGAGCUUUCUGGCAACGAUUUGAUUGGUUUGCCAUUGAAGUCUCCUCUUUCCUUCAAUGAAAUCAUAUAUGCGCUUCCCAUGCUCACUAUCUUUACAGAUAAAGGUACUGGCAUUGUGACUAGUGUUCCAAGCGAUUCGCCAGACGAUUUCAUGGCACUGCAAGCUUUAGUCACAAAGCCGGCAUUGAGAGCAAAAUUUGGAGUCAAAGACGAGUGGGUUCUUCCAUUUGAUAUUAUACCAAUAAUCGACAUUCCUGGAUUUGGAGACAAGUCAGCUGAGAAGGUGUGUGUUGAUCUUAAGAUUACGAGCCAAUAUGACAAGGAAAAACUUGCUGAAGCGAAAAGGAUGACAUAUCUUAAAGGGUUUACAGAAGGAGUGAUGGUUGUAGGGGAGUACAAUGGCAGAAAGGUUGAAGAAGCAAAGCCACUGAUUAAGAACAAGCUUUUGGAAGAAGGCUUGGCUGUUUUGUAUAGUGAGCCUGAGAAAAAAGUUAUGUCAAGAUCUGGUGAUGAGUGUGUCGUUGCUCUCACAGAUCAAUGGUACAUAACUUAUGGUGAGGUUGAAUGGAAGCAGAAGGCGGUCAAAUGUUUGAAGAACAUGAAUACAUUCUCAGCUGAAACUCGUAAUGGGUUCGAGCAUACAUUGGGCUGGCUGAACAAGUGGGCUUGUUCACGUUCUUUUGGCCUAGGUACUCGCAUUCCAUUUGAUGAACAGUUCCUUGUAGAAUCUCUUUCUGAUUCAACCCUAUACAUGGCGUAUUACACGAUUGCGCAUCUUCUACAAAAUGGUGACAUGUAUGGAAAAGAAAGAUCUUCUAUUAGGCCAGAGCAAAUGACGGAUGAGGUAUGGGAUUAUGUUUUCUGUGAUGGUCUGGCACCCAAAAGCGACAUCCCUCCUGCUCUGUUGAGCAAAAUGAAGCAAGAAUAUGAGUACUGGUAUCCCUUGGAUAUUCGGGUAUCUGGUAAGGAGCUUAUCCAGAACCAUCUGACAUUCAGCAUUUACACUCAUACAGCACUCCUUCCAGAGCAUCAUUGGCCUCGUGGCUUCCGCUGCAAUGGACAUCUUAUGCUUAACUCUGAGAAAAUGUCCAAGUCCACAGGGAAUUUCCAAACUCUUGGGCAGGCCAUUAAAGAGUACUCUUCAGAUGCCACCAGGUUUGCCCUUGCUGAUGCGGGUGAUGGUAUGGAUGAUGCAAAUUUUGUCACUGAAACUGCAAAAUCUGCCAUCAUGAGGCUUACAAAAGAAAUUGCAUGGAUGGAAGAGGUUAUAGCUUCUCAAUCUUCUCUGAGAUCUGGUCCUCCCUCUACUUAUGCUGACCAUGUGUUUGCCAAUGAGAUCAACAUUGCUGUGAAUGAAACCGAGAAGAGCUACAAUUCCUUUAUGUUCAGAGAUGCCUUGAAGUCUGGGUUCUAUGACCUACAAUUGGCUAGAGAUGAGUACAGGCUCUCUUGUGGAGCGGCAGGCAUGAAUCGUGAUUUAUUGGUGCGGUUCAUGGAAGUUCAGACGAGGCUCAUCACCCCAAUUUGUCCACACUAUGCUGAACAUGUGUGGCAGAAUAUCCUAAGGAAGGAAGGUUUUGCAGUAAAGGCUGGAUGGCCUAUCGCAGACACUCCCGAUCCUACUCUAAGAAUAGCAAACAAGUAUUUACAGGAUUCAAUUGUUUUGAUGAGGAAGCUGCACCAGAAGCAAGGAUCAGGCUCCAAGAAACCCAAGAAGGGCGCGGCACCACCUCGGGCCGCAGAGAACAAGCUCACUGUCGGUCUCAUAUAUGUCAACGAGCACUAUGACGGAUGGAAAGAGCAAUGCUUGAGGGUGCUUCAACCGAAUUAUGAUAGCCAAACACGUUUGUUUGCCCCUGACGAGGACAUUAGUGAGGCACUGAAGAAUUGCUUCGUUGAACAUGAAGCAAGCUUCACACAAGUCCAGAAGCUCUGCAUGCCUUUCAUCAGGUUCAAGAAAGAUGAAGCAAGGACUAUUGGUCCCCAAGCUUUGAAUUUGAAGCUUCCGUUUGGUGAAAUGAACGUGCUUGAGGAGAACCUGGAGCUGAUCAGAAGGCAGCUGGGCCUUGAGCAUGCAGAGGUGCUGUCAGCAUCUGAUGGAGCUGCUCGUGCCAGAGCUGGACGGCAUGUUUCUGUGCUGAACAACAACCCGCCUUCCCCUGGGGAGCCAGUUGCAAUAUUCAUGAGCAAGCAGGAGUUCGAAGCCCAAAACUAA